CUCUGAUUGGUCCUAGACCAGCUUUCCUGGGUGGGAGUGGGGGCAGGGGACUCCUGGAGUCCAUGCAGUAUGCAGAGGGCGGGGGCUUGGAGGAAAGUCGUUGAUGAUGAGCACUGCCUGUUGGGGCUAAGGGAGGUGGGGCCUUCCAGAAUUUAUGUCACCAUGUGAAGAAGAUCCUUGCUUCCCCUUCACCUUCUGCCAUGAUUUUAAGUUUCUUGAGGCCUCCCCAGCCAUGUGGAACUAUGGAAGGUUCAGUUUCAAGGAUAACCUUGGAGGAAUCUGGAGGACUGUCCUGUGGGAGGUGGUCAAGGUCUGCUUUGUAUUGCUUUAGGAGCGGUGAGAGAAAGACAUAGGGACAUGGAUUUUGAGUGAGCAUAGGAAAGAAUGUCAGAGGACCGCAAAAGGCUGUUGUGUGAGGUAAGAUGAAGUAAACACAUGGCAGCCUCUCUCUCCCACUGACGAUACAACCUUGAUAGAGGGCAUGGUGGAGCUAAUUGAAUGAUCCGAACAGUAAAUACCAGCAAGUAGAUGGGUGAAAACAGCCAGGAUUCCAAGUACCACAAAACUGGUGUUGAGUUGUGCACACUUUUUCCUCUGGAAUCUCUUGAGCAGAACUCAGCAUGACCUGAAACCCAGGAGUGAGCCGCACAGUGCCGACAAUGAGAUGCAGAAGAAAACCUCUGGUUCUGGCUGAAGCAGUGGACAAGGAGACUCUUGAAACUCAGAGCCUGGGGGCACCCCUGAUAGUGUUCUUUACUUUCUCUCCCUUCUCACAUUCCAGCCACCAGAGAAUGCAAGAGAGGAGUAGCAGUGGCAGUAAAUGUGGCAUCAACAACAACAACAAAAAGCAGGGACUAGGACUCUGAGGAAGGGAAGCCUAUAUUCUGGCCUCAGGGUGCUCUUUCUUCCUGCCUAGGGGUCAUAUACCACCUGUGGGCACCUCAGGACUCCUGACAACCUCACUUUUACCUGUUGCCUUUUUAGCCCAGGAUCAGUAGGUAUGGGGGUGCACAUGCUCUUGAGGACACAGCAGCUGUCACAUCAGGGAACCCGACUCCAGAACCCUCUGUAAAUAUCCCAUGGCUUGGCCCUGCCCAUCACCCCACCCAGGCCUCCUCAAAUGAGGAGCUAAAGCUGGCCCAUGGGGCCAAAGU
rnacentral:lncRNA from 10 species